rnacentral:rRNA from 1 species
AUGAACGCUGGCGGCGUGCUUAACACAUGCAAGUCGAACGAAGCAUUUAAGACAGAUUACUUCGGUUUGAGGUCUUUUAUGACUGAGUGGCGGACGGGUGAGUAACGCGUGGGUAACCUGCCUCAUACAGGGGGAUAGCAGCUGGAAACGGCUGGUAAUACCGCAUAAGCGCACAGUACCACAUGGUACAGUGUGAAAAACUCCGGUGGUAUGAGAUGGACCCGCGUCUGAUUAGCUUGUUGGCGGGGUAACGGCCCACCAAGGCGACGAUCAGUAGCCGACCUGAGAGGGUGACCGGCCACAUUGGGACUGAGACACGGCCCAGACUCCUACGGGAGGCAGCAGUGGGGAAUAUUGCACAAUGGAGGAAACUCUGAUGCAGCGACGCCGCGUGAGUGAAGAAGUAGUUCGCUAUGUAAAGCUCUAUCAGCAGGGAAGAUAGUGACGGUACCUGACUAAGAAGCUCCGGCUAAAUACGUG